CCCCAGCCAAAGGGCAAGUCCAGGCGCCCUGACCGAGGGCUGCCGGGGUGUACAGCGUGUACCCGUGGGUAACCCGGGAGAAGGGGGCUGGUUCUGGGUAGGCGGGAAAGUCGUCUCCGGGCAUCCCCGGGUGGUUCUUCCUAAGAACAGCCACCCGGUGGGUGCAAUGCUCUUCCCUCCACCGCCCCUCCCCGAGUGGGGGCGACGGGCGGUCAGGUUACCGCACUAACGGGCCCUCCCCACCCCAAAGCAGAAGCCAACUCUCCCCAGCGGCAUCGGAUGGGACAGUCCCGCCCCCCAAACCUCAAAGCUGGUUCCCAGACCUCGGACUAAAUCCGCGACCCCAGGUCGGGGGCGCUGCGCUAGAUCGCGCGACUCCCACGGCUCGCCCCCUCCCCCCAGGAGCACGGGACCGGAGCGCGGAGGGUGUCUUUUAACCACAAUGUAUUUUGAUACCUCUGAUUAUCCCCAUUGGGCAAAGUGUGUUACAUCUUUACAGACGUCUUGUGAGGUUGAAAUUAUCAUUUCUGUUUUGCCCAUCAGUCAGUGGAAGUCCACCCAGGCUAAGCACAUGCUCAGCAUCCAAGUGCUUCAGUGCCAGUUUUCCAGAAUACUGCAAAUCAACAAAAACUUUAUCCUGGUAUGUGAAACUUAUGAUUGGACCCUGCUAUCAUCAGAGCCAAGGAGGUGCCUGACAUCCUUGAUCCUUGAUGUUACCUUGAAAAAAACCAGGUCUAUUCUUGUUUGGAUGAAAGUCACUUUUGUUCUGACCACUAUGUAAGCUUCCUUUCUCUGGCUCGAAUUGCAGGAACCACUGGUCUUGAUGCCACUCUUGACCAUGACUCUAUAAUAAAGUCCCUAAUAACUCGCACUGUGUGCAAUCCUGUGUCUGUGUCCUUUCUUCUCUCUCCUGGCACCUUUCACCUAUGACAGUUAGUUCUUUCACACUGGAUUUUCCUGGAUCAUUGUGAGAACAUUUAACCUGAGAUCUGUCCUCUUCACAUAGUUUUUUAUGUGUAUAACAAAAUAUCAUUAACUAUAGACAAAAUGUAGCACAUCAGAUCUCUGGAACUUAUUCAUCUGACAUUCCUGAAACUUUAUAUCCAUUGAUUAGUAACUUCCUAUUUCUCCCCUCUUCCUUAUUCCCUGGAAACAAUGAUUUUAUUCUUUUCUUCUUGGACUAUUUUGAUAACUGAGAAAGGUAGAAUCAUGAAUUAUUUAUUCUGUGACUGGUUUCUUUCACUAAGCACAAUAUCUUCAAGAUUCUUCCAUUUUGUUGUAUAUUGCAGAAAUUUCUUCCCUUUUAAAAAUCAAUGUUAUUCAUAGCUAUAAACACUUAUGGGUUUAUAUAU